AGUACAGUAAGUUAUUUUAAACUAUCGGGCCCAUACCCCUAAAAAACAGGUUAAAUUCCUGUCUCUACUA
rnacentral:tRNA from 1 species